AUGUUGGUUUAUAGUUUUCUCAUUUCUUUCAUUUAAUACCUCUGUAAAAUGAAGCAGUUACUUCCAUUUUCCUGAGGUGAGAUAAGUGCCCUGCACAAUGUUAUAGGCCCAGUAAGUGAGACUGGAGCUCUGAUCUAAUCCCUUUGACAUUAAAGUUUGUGCAGUAAACCAGCUAUGUCAGUUUGCCACAUUUGUAAUAGUGUUCAAUAAAUUUUCACUUAAAGGUUUAAUAUUAAAGUAGUAGCAAGAAUUCAUAACCUUAAUUGGCUUUAACAGCUUUUCUUUCCCUGAAAACAGAUGCAUAUGUACACAUGCACACAGAUUGCUUACAAUAUCAGCACGUAAAAGGCCUUUGCACAUUGAAGUCGGCACUGCUUUGGUGCCUUUUUUGUUUUUUGGCUCGGUGUUUUGACUGCAAGUCUUUUUGGAUAGAAUUUUAUAGUUAGAAAGUAGCUAACACUUGGGUUUUAUAGGCACAAAAAACAAGUCUUAUACUAGCUGUACUUUAUUUUUUGAGUUCUUAUUAAUGAGGAACAUCCACUUUUGCAUUGACAGUGAUUUCAAGAUUGCUUUAUCAGCCUUUAAAGGAUUCUUGACUAGUCGUGCACAUCAGAACUGCCAGGUCCCCAGUGGUUCUGAAGCAGUAAGCUUUGGGUGGGCUCUGGCAUCAGCACUUUCACUAAGCUUCACAGAUAAUUCUGAUGCAUACUCCAGGCCUGAACCACUGAUCAAUUUGAAACAUGCAUAACAAAGCAAAAAAAGUUUUGUUUCACCUUUUGAAAUACAGUUAACUCUUUUACCAUGCCAGAGAUCAUUCAGAGAGACAGGUCGUUGCUCCGGAGUGAUACAGAUCUGGCAGUACCCAGCCCUUGUGUGUGUGCGUUAGCUCAGCACCUGCCCACACUGCGAGCCCCCGUAGGAUGUGCCUUGUCCUUCCCUGUUUCAGCACUUAACACACUACCUGGUACAGAGUAUGUAGUGGGCAUCUGUUGAAUGAAUGCUUUUCCCAGUAGCAGUGUAUUCAUACAAUAUUAAUAUAAUUGUCCCCUGGCUUACAGAUAAAAAUGAAAGCAUCAAGUGCCCAGUGAGUGAGACCCAGGUGUUCUUCCUCCACCCCUAGUGGUCCCCUGGGCAGGUCUUUUUUUUUUUGUAACACUCACCAGUCUGUUCUGUAGUCAAUCAUUGAUUGACUUGUCUGUGAACUUGGAGGAACUGUUUCAUAGUUUCAUUAGCACAGAGUAAACAUGUUUGCCAUGCAAGGUUAUUUUGCAUCUGCAUUUAAGUGAUAAUGUUGAAUCAAUGAAAAGUGUUGAUUAAGCAGUAGUUGUAGAUAUGCUAAGUUUUUCAAAUUACUAAUAUCAAGUGGAGAUUGUUUUUACUUUUAAGGGUAUUGCUUUUGUGAUAGCAUAAAUAAUGGUUUUCCUUUUUUGUAAUGUAAAUUAAUUGCUGGCAACUUUUGUAUUCCCAUAGACUGGGGAAGCUUAAUUGCCUUUACAAGUACUUAUGUACAACUUUGUAUCAAAUUUUCUGUAAUAGUUUAUGCUUUAGUACUAUAUAUGUACUAAUAAUUUUAUCUGACUUCUGUUUAUAUCAUUUGUACAAUUACAUGGUUGUAAAAUAAACUUUUAAACC
rnacentral:lncRNA from 1 species